GAUGAACGCUGGCGGCGUGCCUAAUACAUGCAAGUCGAGCGAACAGACGAGGAGCUUGCUCCUUUGACGUUAGCGGCGGACGGGUGAGUAACACGUGGGUAACCUACCUAUAAGACUGGGAUAACUUCGGGAAACCGGAGCUAAUACCGGAUAAUAUAUUGAACCGCAUGGUUCUAUAGUGAAAGACGGUUUUGCUGUCACUUAUAGAUGGAUCCGCGCCGCAUUAGCUAGUUGGUAAGGUAACGGCUUACCAAGGCAACGAUGCGUAGCCGACCUGAGAGGGUGAUCGGCCACACUGGAACUGAGACACGGUCCAGACUCCUACGGGAGGCAGCAGUAGGGAAUCUUCCGCAAUGGGCGAAAGCCUGACGGAGCAACGCCGCGUGAGUGAUGAAGGUCUUCGGAUCGUAAAACUCUGUUAUUAGGGAAGAACAAAUGUGUAAGUAACUGUGCACGUCUUGACGGUACCUAAUCAGAAAGCCACGGCUAACUACGUG
rnacentral:rRNA from 1 species